UAACACGUAGGCCAACCUGCCCAUGACACGGGGAUAGCUUCGGGAAACCCGGAGGUAAUACCCGAUACCUUUACUUUAUUGCAUGAUAAGUAAAGAAAGCGAAUAGCGGUCAUGGAUGGGCUGCGUCCCAUUAGCUAGUUGGUGAGAUAACAGCCCACCAAGGCGACGAUGGGUAGCCGACCUGAGAGGGUGACCGGCCACACUGGAACUGAGACACGGUCCAGACUCCUACGGGAGGCAGCAGUGGGGAAUCUUGCGCAAUGGGCGAAAGCCUGACGCAGCGACGCCGCGUGAGCGAAGAAGGCCUUCGGGUCGUAAAGCUCAGUCAUUGGGGAUGAGAUGACAGUACCCAAGGAGGAAGCCCCGGCUAACUACGUGCCAGCAGCCGCGGUAAUACGUAGGGGGCGAGCGUUGUCCGGAAUUACUGGGUGUAAAGGGCGUGUAGGCGGGGGUGCAAGUUACCGGUAAAAACCCAGGGCUCAACUCUGGGCUUGCCGGUAAAACUGCAUCUCUUGAGUGUAGGAGAGGGAAGUGGAAUUCCCGGAGUAGCGGUGAAAUGCGUAGAUACCGGGAGGAACACCAGUGGCGAAGGCGGCUUCCUGGCCUACAACUGACGCUGAGGCGCGAAAGCUAGGGUAGCGAACGGGAUUAGAUACCCCGGUAGUCCUAGCCGUAAACGAUGGUCACUAGGUGUGGGUGGUGGUCAAGCCAUCCGUGCCGGAGCUAACGCAAUAAGUGACCCACCUGGGGAGUACGGCCGCAAGGCUGAAACUCAAAGGAAUUGACGG
rnacentral:rRNA from 1 species